rnacentral:rRNA from 1 species
UGGGGAAUAUUGCACAAUGGGCGCAAGCCUGAUGCAGCAACGCCGCGUGAGGGACGACGGCCUUCGGGUUGUAAACCUCUUUUAGUAGGGAAGAAGCGAAAGUGACGGUACCUGCAGAAAAAGCACCGGCUAACUACGUGCCAGCAGCCGCGGUAAUACGUAGGGUGCAAGCGUUGUCCGGAAUUAUUGGGCGUAAAGAGCUCGUAGGCGGUUGGUCGCGUCUGCUGUGAAAACCCGAGGCUCAACCUCGGGCCUGCAGUGGGUACGGGCCGACUAGAGUGCGGUAGGGGAGAAUGGAAUUCCUGGUGUAGCGGUGGAAUGCGCAGAUAUCAGGAGGAACACCGAUGGCGAAGGCAGUUCUCUGGGCCGUAACUGACGCUGAGGAGCGAAAGCAUGGGGAGCGAACA